rnacentral:rRNA from 1 species
CCUACGGGAGGCAGCAGUAGGGAAUCUUCCGCAAUGGACGAAAGUCUGACGGAGCAACGCCGCGUGAACGAUGAAGGCCUUCGGGUCGUAAAGUUCUGUUGUUAGGGAAGAACAAGUGCUAGUUAAAUAAGCUGGCACCUUGACGGUACCUAACCAGAAAGCCACGGCUAACUACGUGCCAGCAGCCGCGGUAAUACGUAGGUGGCAAGCGUUGUCCGGAAUUAUUGGGCGUAAAGCGCGCGCAGGCGGUUUCUUAAGUCUGAUGUGAAAGCCCCCGGCUCAACCGGGGAGGGUCAUUGGAAACUGGGAAACUUGAGUGCAGAAGAGGAAAGUGGAAUUCCAAGUGUAGCGGUGAAAUGCGUAGAGAUUUGGAGGAACACCAGUGGCGAAGGCGACUUUCUGGUCUGUAAACUGACGCUGAGGCGCGAAAGCGUGGGGAGCAAACAGGAUUAGAUACCCUGGUAGUCCACGCUGUAAACGAUGAGUGNUAGUAGUAGUAGGUUACGGUCCGUUACGUUAGUGUGUAGUAACGUACGAUAAGUACACUCCGCCGUCGGGUAGGUACGGUACGGUCGACGACGUACGUAACGUAACGUAACUAGUAAGUUAGUACGGACGUCGAGACGUACGCCGACGGACGACGACCGAGGGAGGUAGGAGG